ensembl:ncRNA T19A5.13 ncRNA
AAAAUAAAACGAUAGGUGAAACGAGCGAAUCGAUAAGGAGGCAGAAUUAUGCCAUAAAAAUUCCUGAUGCGUGAUGCAUUUCGAUAACACGAGUAAAGAGAGUUUCGUCUGUGGAAAUAAGAAGGGAAAUG